rnacentral:rRNA from 1 species
GAUGAACGCUGGCUACAGGCUUAACACAUGCAAGUCGAGGGGAAACGACGGGGAAGCUUGCUUCCCCGGGCGUCGACCGGCGCACGGGUGAGUAACGCGUAUCCAACCUGCCUCUGACUGAGGGAUAACCCGUCGAAAGUCGGCCUAAUACCUCAUGGCAUCGUCUGCGGGCAUCCAACGACGAUUAAAGAUUUCAUCGGUCAGGGAUGGGGAUGCGUCUGAUUAGCUUGUUGGCGGGGUAACGGCCCACCAAGGCGACGAUCAGUAGGGGUUCUGAGAGGAAGGUCCCCCACAUUGGAACUGAGACACGGUCCAAACUCCUACGGGAGGCAGCAGUGAGGAAUAUUGGUCAAUGGGCGGGAGCCUGAACCAGCCAAGUAGCGUGCAGGAUGACGGCCCUAUGGGUUGUAAACUGCUUUUAUGCGGGGAUAAAGUGCAGGACGUGUCCUUCAUUGCAGGUACCG